rnacentral:rRNA from 2 species
UGGGAAACAGGUUAAUAUUCCUGUACUUGGUGUUACUGCGAAGGGGGGACGGAGAAGGCUAUGUUGGCCGGGCGACGGUUGUCCCGGUUUAAGCGUGUAGGCUGGUUUUCCAGGCAAAUCCGGAAAAUCAAGGCUGAGGCGUGAUGACGAGGCACUACGGUGCUGAAGCAACAAAUGCCCUGCUUCCAGGAAAAGCCUCUAAGCAUCAGGUAACAUCAAAUCGUACCCCAAACCGACACAGGUGGUCAGGUAGAGAAUACCAAGGCGCUUGAGAGAACUCGGGUGAAGGAACUAGGCAAAAUGGUGCCGUAACUUCGGGAGAAGGCACGCUGAUAUGUAGGUGAAGUCCCUCGCGGAUGGAGCUGAAAUCAGUCGAAGAUACCAGCUGGCUGCAACUGUUUAUUAAAAACACAGCACUGUGCAAACACGAAAGUGGACGUAUACGGUGUGACGCCUGCCCGGUGCCGGAAGGUUAAUUGAUGGGGUCAGCGCAAGCGAAGCUCUUGAUCGAAGCCCCGGUAAACGGCGGCCGUAACUAUAACGGUCCUAAGGUAGCGAAAUUCCUUGUCGGGUAAGUUCCGACCUGCACGAAUGGCGUAAUGAUGGCCAGGCUGUCUCCACCCGAGACUCAGUGAAAUUGAACUCGCUGUGAAGAUGCAGUGUACCCGCGGCAAGACGGAAAGACCCCGUGAACCUUUACUAUAGCUUGACACUGAACAUUGAGCCUUGAUGUGUAGGAUAGGUGGGAGGCUUUGAAGUGUGGACGCCAGUCUGCAUGGAGCCGACCUUGAAAUACCACCCUUUAAUGUUUGAUGUUCUAACGUGGACCCGUGAUCCGGGUUGCGGACAGUGUCUGGUGGGUAGUUUGACUGGGGCGGUCUCCUCCUAAAGAGUAACGGAGGAGCACGAAGGUUGGCUAAUCCUGGUCGGACAUCAGGAGGUUAGUGCAAUGGCAUAAGCCAGCUUGACUGCGAGCGUGACGGCGCGAGCAGGUGCGAAAGCAGGUCAUAGUGAUCCGGUGGUUCUGAAUGGAAGGGCCAUCGCUCAACGGAUAAAAGGUACUCCGGGGAUAACAGGCUGAUACCGCCCAAGAGUUCAUAUCGACGGCGGUGUUUGGCACCUCGAUGUCGGCUCAUCACAUCCUGGGGCUGAAGUAGGUCCCAAGGGUAUGGCUGUUCGCCAUUUAAAGUGGUACGCGAGCUGGGUUUAGAACGUCGUGAGACAGUUCGGUCCCUAUCUGCCGUGGGCGCUGGAGAACUGAGGGGGGCUGCUCCUAGUACGAGAGGACCGGAGUGGACGCAUCACUGGUGUUCGGGUUGUCAUGCCAAUGGCACUGCCCGGUAGCUAAAUGCGGAAGAGAUAAGUGCUGAAAGCAUCUAAGCACGAAACUUGCCCCGAGAUGAGUUCUCCCUGACCCUUUAAGGGUCCUGAAGGAACGUUGAAGACGACGACGUUGAUAGGCCGGGUGUGUAAGCGCAGCGAUGCGUUGAGCUAACCGGUACUAAUGAACCGUGAGGCUUAACCUU